UACCUUUGCAACGCUUUUGGUUCCCGGAUCUACACCCGGGAUUAAAAGGGAAUACGGUGAAAAUCCGUAACUGUCCCGCAACUGUAAGCGCUUAAACGGUUUUCUAAUCUGGCCACUGUUCCACAUAAGGUGUAAUGGGAAGGCGGAAAACCGGGCGCAAGUCAGGAGACCUGCCUUCAGCAUUAAUGAUUU
rnacentral:ncRNA from 1 species